AUGAACCAUUUUGGUACCUGGUUGGUGGGAGGCAGGGUGACCCCAUUGCUGCCACUGAAAGCCCGCAACAAUGAAAAUCUCAACAAAAUUGGUAUGUCUUUGGAUGAUAUCAUCAAACUAAAUUGACAGGGAGGAAAGAAGCAUAAUUUUCUAACUGGAGCCUGGCAAUUCAGGAUGAGCAUAUGAUGGAGAAUUCAACAGAAUUCUGGCUUUGGUAAGACUAGUCUGAGCACAGAGGAUGAGUAAUGCCUGGAAAGAGACAGCUUUAUGGAGUUAUCACUGGCCUUGCAUCUAGGAAAGCAACUGGAAUUCACAAAGAAAUUAAUCCUAUGAAUCAUCCGUCUCUAGGUGACAGGAAUAUAGAACGAUAUUUUCUAGUGUUAAAAAGGAAGGCAAACCUUCUGGGACAAAUAUGAAGUGCAGAAAAAAACCAGUUGCAGUUCUCAAGGGACCUAACCAGCUAAACAGAAAAAAAAAACAUUCCAGCCAAUUUUACCAAGAAUGGAAAUAAAUUAAGCCAUCAGAAACACAUGCGUCAGGCAACUUUUCAUUUCAGAAGAGACGUGAAGGUUCAGACCCAGUUGAACACAACAGCAACUGCUGGAUAACGUAGUCGGAAAGAGAACUCAUCAAUGGCAGAACCACAAACGGAGGAAUUUUGACUCUAUCUUUGGACAAUCCUGGAGCAGUGCAAUGCCUAACACAGAAAUCAGGAUUAAUUCAUACUGCUGUAUCUUCAUUUUUAACAAAAUGGAAGCAAUCUGACAUAACGAAAGUUCCUAAAGUGGAACCCUACAAUUGACAUAAAUUGUGCUGGAAAACAGACAGAGAUGACUUUGAAUGAGAAGUUUAGGAUCCUGAAGGAACAAAGAGCCACUCUGACAAACAACAAAGGAGGAAGCUGCUUUGUAACUGUAUUAG
rnacentral:lncRNA from 10 species